rnacentral:siRNA from 1 species
UACAGCUGGUGCUAGGUUUGAUGU